rnacentral:rRNA from 1 species
GAGAGCUUGCUCUCUUGGCGGCGAGUGGCGGACGGGUGAGUAAUAUAUCGGAACGUGCCCAGUAGCGGGGGAUAACUACUCGAAAGAGUGGCUAAUACCGCAUACGCCCUACGGGGGAAAGGGGGGGAUCGCAAGACCUCUCACUAUUGGAGCGGCCGAUAUCGGAUUAGCUAGUUGGUGGGGUAAAGGCUCACCAAGGCAACGAUCCGUAGCUGGUUUGAGAGGACGACCAGCCACACUGGGACUGAGACACGGCCCAGACUCCUACGGGAGGCAGCAGUGGGGAAUUUUGGACAAUGGGGGAAACCCUGAUCCAGCCAUCCCGCGUGUAUGAUGAAGGCCUUCGGGUUGUAAAGUACUUUUGGCAGAGAAGAAAAGGUAUCCCCUAAUACGGGAUACUGCUGACGGUAUCUGCAGAAUAAGCACCGGCUAACUACGUGCCAGCAGCCGCGGUAAUACGUAGGGUGCAAGCGUUAAUCGGAAUUACUGGGCGUAAAGCGUGUGUAGGCGGUUCGGAAAGAAAGAUGUGAAAUCCCAGGGCUCAACCUUGGAACUGCAUUUUUAACUGCCGAGCUAGAGUAUGUCAGAGGGGGGUAGAAUUCCACGUGUAGCAGUGAAAUGCGUAAAUAUGUGGAGGAAUACCGAUGGCGA